rnacentral:rRNA from 1 species
GGGGGGGCAAGCGUUGUUCGGAAUUACUGGGCGUAAAGGGCGCGCAGGCGGUUUCGUCAGUCAUGGGUGAAAGCCCCGGGCUCAACCCGGGAAUGGCCUGUGAAACCACGGAACUGGAGUGCUGGAGAGGGAAGCGGAAUUCCCAGUGUAGCGGUGAAAUGCGUAGAUAUUGGGAGGAACAUCGGUGGCGAAGGCGGCUUCCUGGACAGACACUGACGCUGAGGCGCGAAAGCCAGGGGAGCGAACGGGAUUAGAUACCCCGGGUAGUCCUGGCUGUAAACGAUGAAUACUUGGUGUAGGGGGUAGGAAAGUCCCCUCUGUGCCGAAGAGAACUCGAUAAGUAUUCCGCCUGGGGAGUACGGCCGCAAGGCUG